GCUUCAUUCUCUUUUCCAGAGUCAUCAAAGUCCAGUGGCAAGACAAGAGUCAGGAUGACUGGCAAUGACCCAAGGCGUAGUGGAUGAUGUUGCUGUCUUCAAUAUCUGACCUUGGAAAAAAUUGUUCCCAGUUGCCCAUUCCAUGGAGGGGUAUCUUCACAUGCUUGGGAUUGACAUUCCUCUAAGUCACCAAUAGCUUUGAGGCCUGUCAGUUACCCUCAAUCUAGUUUAGUCCAUCUGCCAAGAUGGUUUACCAAGCUAUGGCAACUGUAUGUACUAUUAUUUCUUGGAAGCCACAGUGAGAGCUAGCUGAAAAGUAUACCCCAAAGGUAGAUCAGCAGCCCUGAAAAAGUUAUAGAAAGUUCUCACACCAGAGGUUCUAGUCCUCCCCCUACACAGCCCACAUACCCCAGGAGAUUAUUUGCAGGUAUUUUGUGUGUGGAAAGUAUAGACUCAGACAUUUGGCUUGUUACAAAUUGUUAGUGUUUAUAAGCACUAAAAAUAAUUCCCUAGCUAUAUACUCAAUACUAGUUCAAUUGAUCCAAGAAAUAGAGGAAGAAUGAAUGAAGAAAGGAUAUUGGGACAAGAAAUGGCAAUUUUUCUCAUGAUUAGGACACUUCAAUCAAAGUAGAACCCAACUUUGUGGACAAAGACUAUGACAGACCUGUUCUUCACUGGACCACUGCUUAGAGCUUCUCUCUUCAAAAGCACCAUUCAGAGACCAGGAAUUCCCCAAGAGAGUAUGCCAUCAGAUGGGGAAAAUGCUGCACUGUUGCACCACAACUCCUGUUGUCCUUGGAUAAUUGAUGGUGAGCACCGCACCAGGAUAAAUGACACCAAAAAAUUAUAUAGGCCAAGUAAAGGGAUGGGCAUGGCUCUGGGGGGCUCUAGCGUAACUCCUAUACAACACCUUACCACUGUCAGAAUUGCAAAAGUUGAAACUAUGUAAUAAAUGGUUGUAUUAUACUAUUCAACUAGGUGCUAUAGUAAAUAAAAUACCAGGUCUGGAGUCA
rnacentral:lncRNA from 1 species